rnacentral:hammerhead_ribozyme from 1 species
CAAGCGUCUGGGGUAAGGAGCCCCACUGAUGAGUCUAGAUGACUCCGAGACGAAACGCAUC